rnacentral:rRNA from 1 species
UACGGAGGGUGCGAGCGUUGUCCGGAAUCAUUGGGCGUAAAGGGCGCGUAGGCGGCCGUCCCAAGCGUGCGGUGAAAGUCAGGGGCUCAACCCCUGAUCGGCCGUGCGAACUGGGGGGCUCGAGGCACUGUAGAGGCAGGCGGAAUUCCGGGUGUAGCGGUGGAAUGCGUAGAGAUCCGGAAGAACACCGGUGGCGAAGGCGGCCCGCUGGGCAGGAAGGCUCGCAAGAGCCGGCUGACACUGAGGCGCGACAGCGUGGGGAGCAAACAGGG